AACGAACGCUGGCGGCAUGCCUAACACAUGCAAGUCGAACGAGACCUUCGGGUCUAGUGGCGCACGGGUGCGUAACGCGUGGGAACCUGCCCUUAGGUUCGGAAUAACUCCCCGAAAGGGGUGCUAAUACCGGAUAAUGUCUUCGGACCAAAGAUUUAUCGACUUUGGAUGGGCCCGCGUUGGAUUAGCUAGUUGGUAGGGUAAAAGCCUACCAAGGCGACGAUCCAUAGCUGGUCUGAGAGGAUGAUCAGCCACACUGGGACUGAGACACGGCCCAGACUCCUACGGGAGGCAGCAGUGGGGAAUAUUGGACAAUGGGCGAAAGCAUGAUCCAGCAAGGCCGGGUGAGUGAUGAAGGCCGUAGGGUUGUAAAGCUCUUUUACCCGGGAUGAUAAUGACAGUACCGGGAGAAUAAGCACCGGCUAACUCCGUG
rnacentral:rRNA from 1 species